UUGCCCUAGAACCAAGUGUGGGUGUGGCCUGGAUCUUUGUUAUGGCGACCCAUCCUUGGUUUCUGAGGCUU
rnacentral:pre_miRNA from 1 species